GAGAGAGAGAGAGAGAGAGAGGGAAAUGGAGGCUAACACUGAUGUCGGAUCUAAAGGGAAGCUCAUCAUCGACACAGAUCCUAGAGUUGGGCUCGCUAUUGGUCACUGGUGACAAUAAAGAUGAAAUUUGUUCCUUGGAUAACAUUACUCAUUGCAAGAGAAAUUUGUUGGAAUCUGGUGUCGAGCACCCAGUUUCAGUAGACAUGAUUUCUCCGCAAAUGUCCAGCAACAAAAAGCAAAAACAGAUCAAGAUUGAAAAGGGAUAAUUAGAAUAUUCUACAGAGAGUUCAAGCUCCUUUUUGAUAAAUCUAUAUUUGAUACAUAAUGUCUGAAACUUAUAUUUAGUAUUUUGGUCUAAAACCGUAUUUAGUAAACUUUUGUAUGCACUACAUAAUUUUUUGUGGUUUUGCGUUGAGAAACCUAACUACUUGAUAUGAUUAUGAUAGAUAUUUUGUUUAUCAA